rnacentral:piRNA from 1 species
CAGCGAAUAAUACGACCUCGUGACGGGU